rnacentral:rRNA from 1 species
AUUGAACGCUAGCGGGAUGCCUUACACAUGCAAGUCGAACGGAGUGGCGAACGGGUGAGUAAUGUAUCGGAACGUGCCCAGUAGCGGGGGAUAAAUAAGCGAAAGCGUAGCUAAUACCGCAUACUAUUGAUCGGGCCGAUAUGGGUUUAGCUAGUUGGUGGGGGAACGGCUCACCAAGGCGACGAUCGCUAGCUGGUUUGAGAGGACGAACAGCCACACUGGGACUGAGACACGGCCCAGACUCCUACGGGAGGCAGCAGUGGGGAAUUUUGGACAAUGGGGGCAACCCUGAUCCAGCCAUCCCGCGUGUACGAUGAAGGCCCUCGGGUUGUAAAGCACUUUUGGCAGGAAAGCGGUACCUGCAGAAUAAGCACCGGCUAACUACGUGCCAGCAGCCGCGGUAAUAC